AGGGAGGGCGGGCUGACUGUGAGGAGGCGGAGGGCCGAGGGAAAGGGAAAGGAAAGCGAAAGGUACUCAGAGGUCUCCCGGCGCCUUCUCCUCUACCGGAGUAGAUUAUCUUCUCCAACCAACCAGACAGCGACCUACGCCACCCGCUCUCAACCCUCGCGAGAUCGCUAGUUCCCCCUUCGAGGGCCGGGUUGCGAGGGCGCAUGCGCCUGUUCCUCCUAGACUCCGCCUCCUCCGGGCCGCCAGCGGGUUGUGGAAGGCGAGUGGGCGGGGCCUCGAGGAGGCGCGUCGGCGGAGGUUUGCGCGUUCGCUCCUUCGUGUGACGCGAGCUGGCUCUUCGGCGCUCCCGUAACGGCUCCGCUCGCUGUCUCCCGCCGGCUAGAGAGGCCCGCUUGGGAACGGC
rnacentral:lncRNA from 1 species